rnacentral:lncRNA from 1 species
UAGAGCAAUAAAACCCACUGGAUUAAAGAACUCUUGGUUUGAUUUCAGGACUAUAAUUCACAUCAUAAUUUGAGAAGAUUUUGAACUAAUCUGUCGUGUUUGGACCUCAGGAAAAAUUAAAACGGGGAAAAUUCUGUGUUGUGGAAGGAUUUUGCAGUCCUCUGUUAGUAAUGUCCAUUGAUUAGGUAGAUGCAUUCAGUUAAUCCAUAAUCCUUGUUUUUUUCCUUAAUGAAGUAUCCAGUGUAGAAGGUACUUCUCUUUGUUUUCUGAGAAAUAUCUGAAUGAACCCCUCUUUCCCAUCCCACUUGAAACAGACCUCUUCCCUUAUAAAAGAAAUAAGGAAGGCUAAUCAGAAAGUGUGGUUUUUAAGAAAAAAAUUUAAUUUUAGCCUUUUCACUAGGAAAUAGUCACAUUAACUGCUCCUAUUUGUUUCCUUUUGUUUAAACUGAGGUUUUGGAAUAUUUUGUGUGAGUAGGUAACCUCUAG